GAACAAAUCUUACUUGCUGUGUUUGAAGCAGGGCUACUGAAGAAGGAAAAAAAAAAGUUUUCUAGAUGGCUAUCGAGAGAAUAAGAAACUUAACUUCACCUGUGGACUUCUAAUUCCAUCUAAACAAUAGAGGAAAUAAUGACUUGCCUGAGAUCCUGUGACUGAUAAAGUGCUCCUGUAUUGGUUUGGUACUUCUGCCCUAGGAAAAAAAAAGAGAAAAUUAAUACCGCACAUGAGUACCAAAGGAAAAAGAAAGGAUGUCAAUGGCAGCAUUCUUCAGAGAUCUCUUCUCUUCAGUAAGUCUUGCAGUUACAGUGGUUUGGUCGGCCACCUCCGAGAGAAAACAGCACAGCUGUGAAGCUGGAGAACCAUGAUGCAAGAAUGCUCAAAACUGUGGAGCAGCCACCCAGUAAGGAACAACUGCAUAGACUUGUUGGGCUGAGAAAAAGCAAAU